GACGAACGCUGGCGGCGCGCUUAACACAUGCAAGUCGAACGGAAAGGCCUGCUUUCCCUUGUGGAUUGCGGGUACUCGAGUGGCGAACGGGUGAGUAACCCGUGAGUGAUCUGCCCCCAACUUGGGUAUAAGCCUGGGACACUGGGUCUAAUUCCCGAUAGGACUGCAGGGUGGUGCCUGUGGUGGAAAACGUUUUUCUAGUGGUUGGGGAUGAGCUCGUGGCCUAUCCGCUUGUUGGUGGGGUAAUGGCCUACCAAGGCGGCGACGGGUAGCCGGCCAGAGAGGGUGGACGGCCACAUUGGAACAGAGGUACGGCCCAGACUCCGACGGGAGGCAGAAGUGGGGGAGAGUGAACAGUGGGGGGAAGCCUGAAGCAGCGACGCCGCGUGGGGGAUGACGGCCUGCGGGUUGUAAACUCCUUCCGGCCGCGAGGAAGCCACCUGGUUGGAAGGGUGGUGACGGUAGUGGUAGAAGAAGCACCGGCUAACUACGUG
rnacentral:rRNA from 1 species